rnacentral:rRNA from 1 species
GGAAGGAGAGUGGAAGUUCCAUGUGUAGCGGUGAAAUGCGCAGAGAUAUGGAGGAACACCAGUGGCGAAGGCGACGGUCUGGCCUGUAACUGACGCUCAUUCCCGAAAGCGUGGGGAGCAAAUAGGAUUAGAUACCCUAGUAGUCCACGCCGUAAACGAUGAGUACUAAGUGUUGGGAGUCAAAUCUCAGUGCUGCAGUUAACGCAAUAAGUACUCCGCCUGAGUAGUACGUUCGCAAGAAUGAAACUCAAAGGAAUUGACGGGGGCCCGCACAAGCGGUGGAGCAUGUGGUUUAAUUCGAAGCAACGCGAAGAACCUUACCAGGUCUUGACAUCCGGAUAAAUACCUCAGAGAUGAGGGGAUAGAUAUAACCGAGACAGGUGGUGCAUGGUUGUCGUCAGCUCGUGUCGUGAGAUGUUGGGUUAAGUCCCGCAACGAGCGCAACCCUUGUCGCUAGUUACCAUCAUUAAGUUGGGGACUCUAGCGAGACUGCCAGUGACAAGCUGGAGGAAGGCGGGGAUGACG